rnacentral:tRNA from 1 species
GGAUCGGUAGCUCAGCGGUAGAGCAGUUGACUCUUAAUCAAUUGGUCGUGGGUUCGAUCCCCACCCGGUCCACCA